UACGGAGGGUGCAAGCGUUGUCCGGAAUCACUGGGCGUAAAGGGCGCGUAGGCGGCUCAUGAAGGCUGUGGUGAAAGUCCGGGGCUCAACCUCGGAUCGGCCGUGGCGACUCGUGGGCUGGAGCACUGUAGAGGCGGGUGGAAUUCCGGGUGUAGCGGUGGAAUGCGUAGAGAUCCGGAAGAACACCAGUGGCGAAGGCGGCCCGCUGGGCAGUUUUGCUGACACUGAGGCGCGACAGCGUGGGGAGCAAACAGG
rnacentral:rRNA from 1 species